rnacentral:tRNA from 1 species
GGCACGAUGGCUGAGUGCCUAAGCGGUGGAUUGUAGCUCCAUGGACAGAGGUUCAAUUCCUCUUCGUGUCA